CCUGUGUCCACGCGUGUCCCCUCCGUCGCCGCCUCGGCUCUCGUCCGGGACGAUGCUUUCUGAAAUGGAGCCCUGAAGAUGAUAGGUCUGAUGCUUCCAUAAUACAUUUGGAUGUUGUCAGCUAAGUCCACUUCUCAACUAUGGGGUUCCUCCAAAUUUUGGCUGAAAUUUGUCCUUGUACAUCCCAAGGCUCAUCUGCAAAGUCUACAGUUCACAAUGGAGCUACUGUAUUGGCUAUUGGAAGAAGGAGAUUCUGAAGAUAGAAAAGCAGCCUUGAUUAAUUUAGAACUGUGAAAGGGGAUUCAGCCAUCGGUCUUUGACAUUUCCUGUGAUCUGUUUCAAUCUAGAUGCAAAGGACAUGGAAAAAUCAACUGUUCAAGUGGUUUAAAUAUGUUUUGGAUGUUCCUAUUUGCAGACUACAAUAUUUUCCAAUUACAAUCCUCAGUUGUCAUGUAGAGGGUGGUUAAGCUCUUCUAGAUCACCAUCUUUAUUGAAAAUGUUUAGUAUGAUAGAGUAUCACUG